rnacentral:antisense_RNA from 1 species
CUUCACCGAGCCGAGCAGCAACGGCCGCUCCGGGUCACGGUCCUGGCCGUACGUGGUCAGCAGGGCCUGCGCCUC